GGAACUCUUCGGAGGGAAGCGAGUGGAAUGAGCGGCGGACGGGUGAGUAACACGUAAGGAACCUGCCUCAAGGAUUGGGAUAACUCCGAGAAAUCGGAGCUAAUACCGGAUAGUUCUUCGGACCGCAUGGUCCGAUGAUGAAAGGCGCUUCGGCGUCACCUUGAGAUGGCCUUGCGGUGCAUUAGCUAGUUGGUGGGGUAAUGGCCUACCAAGGCGACGAUGCAUAGCCGACCUGAGAGGGUGAUCGGCCACACUGGGACUGAGACACGGCCCAGACUCCUACGGGAGGCAGCAGUAGGGAAUCUUCCACAAUGGACGAAAGUCUGAUGGAGCAACGCCGCGUGAGUGAUGAAGGUUUUCGGAUCGUAAAACUCUGUUGUAAGGGAAGAACAGAUACGAGAGGUAAUGCUCGUAUCCUGACGGUACCUUGCGAGAAAGCCACGGCUAACUACGUGCCAGCAGCCGCGGUAAUACGUAGGUGGCAAGCGUUGUCCGGAAUUAUUGGGCGUAAAGCGCGCGCAGGCGGCCUUUUAAGUCUGAUGUGAAAGCCCCCGGCUCAACCGGGGAGGGUCAUUGGAAACUGGAAGGCUUGAGUACAGAAGAGAAGAGUGGAAUUCCAUGUGUAGCGGUGAAAUGCGUAGAGAUGUGGAGGAACACCAGUGGCGAAGGCGACUCUUUGGUCUGUAACUGACGCUGAGGCGCGAAAGCGUGGGGAGCAAACAGGAUUAGAUACCCUGGUAGUCCACGCCGUAAACGAUGAGUGCUAGGUGUUGGGGGGUUUCCGCCCCUCAGUGCUGAAGCUAACGCAUUAAGCACUCCGCCUGGGGAGUACGGCCGCAAGGCUGAAACUCAAAGGAAUUG
rnacentral:rRNA from 1 species